UUUUUUCUUUUUACUGCCAUAACUAUGGCCUAUGAAAGAUCCCAGGCUAGGGGUUGAAUGGGAGUUACAGUUGCUGGCCACAGUGGAUCUGAGCUGCAUCUGUGACCUAGGCCACAGCUUGCGGCAGUGCCAGAUCCUUAACCCAGUGCGUGAGACCAGGGGUUGAACCCACAUCCUCAAAGGGUCAACAGUGGGUCCUUAACCCACUGAGUCACAGUGGAAACUCCAGCAGUUUUUACUUCUUAAUCCCAUACCUCUAUCUUGCCCCUUUCCUCUCUCCACUGGUACCCACUAAUUUGUUCUCUUUAUCUGUGACUCUAUUUCUUCAAACUAACUUUUAUCCUCUGAAAGCCAAUAAAGCCCCCAUGAUGUAGCUGUUACAUAUAGAUAUUCCAAUAGUAUCCAACCUNUCGAUUUAUUAUGUUUUUUUACUUCUGCACCUGUGGUAUGUGGAGGUUUCCAGGCUGGGAAGCCAACCCACACCACAACAGUGGCAGUGCCUGAUCCUUAACCUGCUGAGCCAUCAGGGAACUCUCAAAUUCAAUCUUGAUAGUUACUCAAUUUCUUAAAUUAACGGUGCAUUGCUAUGGUAAAUUAUUGAACACAAUGUUAUGAUGUUUUCAGUUAGUUCAUGAGUAUGUGGAUAUAAAGGGAGAACUGAGAAAAUAGGCUAUUGCAAAAAAUAAUCCUAGAAAAUUUCUUUUCCUUAUAUUUUGGAUGUAUACAACAUGACUAUAAAAGAACUAUAAAACCCAAACAAGAUCACUGGUUACCGCAUAUCCAAUUUCAAAAGGUUAUUUUGAGAAGUUAAAUUUCUAGGGUCAUAUACCUUGUAUCAGUUGCAGAGCUGGGAUAAAACCAUGAUAGCUAUUUGACAAUGGUGCGUAAAUAAAUUUCAAAUUUCAUUAACUUGCCAAUAAUCUCUGCUAAUUUAGAAACUGUAUAGCCUAAUGAAGAUAUGCUUCGUCCUCCAUAUUAGAUGAGAGUAAAAGUCCACCCUACCUAUGCAAAAACCAGAAACACUGGUGAACGCCAAGGUGUAGGGCAAACUCAUUUGCCAGUGUCAUCACAGAAUGCUUCUGUUCAGGACCAAGGCAAAAUUUUUAAAUCUCUUGUCCUUUAGCACAAUCCUUUGAGAUAAAUAAAUGCAUUUUUAAGGGAGGUGCUUAAAGCAUGGCUCUGCUUCAUUUAAAAAAGAUAAAUUCAUGACCCAUAUCUCCACCCAACAACACUCAAUGACUUGAUGUGCAUAGACCUCUCUCUUACCCGUUUACGUAAAGAAUCAUCCAAACAUUAAGGUAAACCUGUCACAGGCCCAUUAGUGAGUCAUCACUGCAUUAAGAAGCUUUCAGUACCCAAUCUUUCUAAUGUUGUUAGACAACCUUGACCUUCAGUUCUUUGCAAUGUGAAUAAUAUUGCAUCAUAUCUACCCAGAACAGUGUAAUCAUCUUUUCUAUUCGUGGCACUAAGACAGUCAACAGUAUUUGAUACAAUCAGCAUGUGUCUUGAUACGGAAGGCACAUGGUGACAAGCCUAACUGAAUGUAGUUAUUCGGCUGUCAUGAAAUGCACCUUAUGGUGAUAAACUUCCGCCAUAAAAUUGGAAGACUAUCACAUAAACAUGUUUCACGAAGAAAUACACUAGCAGAAUUCACUGCCGGGUUAUUGUUGGAAAACAGUGUUCUAUUUAUUGUGCUGUGGUUUUUACAGUAUGUGUCAGUGUUUGGAGGCACAUUACGUUUUACAAUGAAGUAAUUACUGGCUGGUGAUUUCUCUUUUCUGAAGAGCAAUUCUAUCUAAUUAGUGCACGAUAAAUUGAAGCGGUUAGAUUAGGGAAAUUUGAAUGGACAUAACAGGACCUGAUUUUCAGUGUGUGUGAGAGUCGUUUAAACUUAAGCUUUCAAACUAUAUGCGUGUUUUUCAACUUCGUGGUGAUUAUUUCUUCCAAUCCACCAGUUCUUUCUGUUUCACCUUAGUCUCUACUUUCUCUGUCUCUCUUUCUCUAAUGUUAUUGCAUUAUUAGUUAAUAGAAUAACUUAUUAAACGUGUCAAUGAACUAUCGGAGAUUUACUGUCGAGAUGAAGCGUAUAAUCAUCCUAUGUGCUUGUACAGCCCCUAAACUGAUAAUAUACAACGUAUAUGCAACAUAAUUCAAGACAUUUGUCCUUGAAUUUUAUUAUGACCCUGAGAUUGAGGCUUGCAUUUUAGUGCUUGCUCUCCAGGGGUGGAAGAUGGCAGAAGGGGCUGUUUGUGGAGUCUGCAUGCCAGGAACCCAGUCUCACUCGUUUUGCCCAAGAAGGGUCUUAGAUCUUGUUUUCCGCUCACAAAGCCAGGAACUGUCUGUAUUUAUUCGUCACAAUUUUUAUCACACAUUCUGGAAGUGCAGUCUAUGUUUGAUAGAUUCGUGCCUUGAAAUAUAACCACAGCCACCUUCAAAUUCCAUGCAUAAUAAUGAUAGAUAAAUAUUUUUUUAAGAGAAAAUUUAAAUACAGAGAAAAUAGCAGCCAGAUACAAAUCAAGACAUGUAACUAGAAAAGCUGGGACACUGACCCAGCCUUUCCCCUUGGGCCUGCUAACUUGCACCUGGGUCCUGAGAUCCCGAGAAUGCUCAAUAACCUCUGAGAUGGUAGUUCCCAGAUGCUGGAGUAAGAUCUGGUUCUUUGGGUCUGAGGGGGCCAGGUGAAGAGAUUUUCAAAACUGUUAGUCAAGGAGGAGCAAAGGCUGGAAUAGAGGGUAGGGAAAGGGAAAAUGAGAGAACAGAAAAAACCUAGCUGGCAAGUAAUAAUGGAAAGAACACCAGUGUAACAAUACUACCUCAGUCAAAAAAAAAAAAAUACGUUUUAAAGCAAAACAAUUUCUAAGAACAAAAAGGCACCCUAAAUCAUAAUAAAAAGAGCAAUUCACCAAGCAUGUAUUAGAGUCAGGUACAUGAGCCUAAAAAACAGAGCCUUAAAUAUAUAUAAAACAAACACUGACAUGGUUUUAUGGAGGAAAUAAAAAAAAUUACAAUCAUUGUAGGAGUUUUUUUUAACACUUGCCUACUGGAAAUUGGAUAGAAAAAAAUUGUAAGGAUACAGAAAAACUAGAGAAGUUUUUAACAGUUAAUUUAAAGGGGGCAACAACUACUCAGCUUUAGGGUUUGGAUAUCGGAAGAAAAUACAGGCCCGCUGCCGCUGGAACAAAAGAUCACCCAAGAGAAAUUUAGAAUCAAAAUUUUCAGGUAAGAUCUUCUUGCAAGUGUGAUAGUCCGACUCCAACAUCUUAAUGACACAAUCCCAGCAACACCAACCUGAUCCUCAGGCAGAGUCAGCAUCUAAGUGACCUAAAGUCUGCCCUCCCUUCAUGCUGUCCAUUUCUUGAAGUGAGAAUCUCUAUUUCUGCGUGGCUGUGUCUUCAAUGGGGUUUGAAGAUUAAAUGAGAGGAAAAAAUUGGAAGUAAUGGCGAGUACGUGCAGUAAUGAUUUAUUCUUGCAAUACCUCCCAUUGAUUGCUUUAUACAUAUGCACACAGCGGAAGUUUCUCAUGGUGCAAGGGAGGAAAAAGGGAUAAGGUACACACUUUCUAUUCCCCUACCAGCCUUCUUCUUCCUAAAACAUGGAGUGAACCACAUUCUUUUCCGUUUCUCCGGUGCCUAGCUCCUUAGUUACCUGGAAAACAAGUAAGAAAAUUAAUGGAAUAACUGUAUGUUUGUAAUUCUUCUUUACAAUUAUCAUAAUUCCACUGAAAAAUAUUCAUUCCACUCUUAUCAUAUAUCAUAUAUCAUAUAUCAUAUAUCACUGCUUGCUUUCUCAUGUAAUGUAUUAAUUCUCACAACAACUGCACUUGUGCCCACCUUACAGAUGAGGACAUCUGGUUUCAGGAUAAGAGAGAGAUUAAAAUAUCUCACUGAAAUGUCCACAACUUGUAAGUGAGGAAGCCAGGAUGGGACCAUUUCUUAUAAAAGCCUUAUAAGACAUAAUGUCUUUCAUGAAGCCUUUUCCACGUAAUGAGAAGGAAAAUGCGGACUACAGCAAAUGUAAAAAUUAUAAUCUCCACUGCCUAACUGACAUUUUCAGGAAGACUUGUUCACUCAGAAUUUAGCACAUAUUUUUGAGCAUAAGUCUGACUUUCUGUGAGACGCUGGGAAUAUGGCUGUGAACGAGACAGAGAAAGUUCCUGCCUUCGUGGAGUUCAUAUUCUGGGAGAGAAAGAAUAAAUCAACCAAUAUAAAUAGUGAAUAAGAAGUUCCCGUCAUGGCUCAGUGGUAAAUGAAUCCAACUAAGAACUAUGAGGUUGAGGGUUCGAUCCCUGGCCUUGCUCAGUGGGUUAAGGAUCCGGCAUUGCCAUGAGCUGUGAUGUAGGUCAAAGAUGCAGCUCCUAUCUUGUGUGGCUGUGGCUGUGGCUGUGGUGUAGGCCAGCAGCUACAGCUCCAAUUCGACCCCUAGCCUGGGAACCUCCAUACACCGCAGAAGCGGCCCUAGAAAUGGCAAAAAGACAAAAUAAAUAAAUAAAUAAAUGGUGAAUAAGAGGCAGAUAUUAAAAUAAACAAAUGCAUGUGUAAUAUAAUUUUAAGUACAUGUAAGAGCUAUGAAUAAUAUAGAGCAAGCUCAAGGGCUAGAGAAGUGAUGGGGUACUUUUUCAGCUAGGAUGGAAAGGAAAGUCUCUCCCGUGAGUAGCAGGGCUAAGAGAGUUCCAGAGAAAGAGGGGAACAGAUACAAAAGAUUAAGAAGGAGGAAGGAGCACUGUGUUGGUCCAAGAACCAGGAAGCUGGAGGCAGGUGAGAAAUGAGGCAGGGAUGGGGGUGAGCGGAGGAGAGGAAGUCAGGGAAAGGGGUUGGGCCUGAGAGCUCCAUGGUCCAGGAAAGAUUUAGGACUUUCAAUGUCAAGUUGAGCCACGGGCAGUGGGGGGUAGGGGUGGCUGUGAUGGGAUUGAUCACCUAUAAAUGUUUGGGCAAUGCAUUCUUUUUUAUUUGCUUGUUUCUUUUUAUUGCUAUACCUAUGGUAUAUGGAAGUUCCUGGGCCAGGGGUUGAAUCAGAGCUGCAGCUGCAACCUAGGCCACAGUCACGGCGACACUGGAUCUGAGGUGCACUGGCAACCUAUACUACAGUUUGUGGCAAUGCCAGAUCCUUAACCCAAUGAGUGAGGCCAGGGAUUAGGCCCGCAUCCUGACAGAGACAACAUAAGAUCCUUAACCUGCUGAGCCACAGUAGGAACUUCUGGGCAAUACAUUCUUAACAAAGGCCUCAGCAGAUGUCCUGGGACCCUGGGGAGUUAAAGUGGUCUUUCUUCUUCCUCCCAAGUGGGGGCAGGAGGGUCAGCCAGUCUUCCUCAUUGGCCAGUCACUGAUUGUGGACUUCCCUGGAUGAGAUGUGUUCUUCAACUGAGGCAAUUCUUCCUUCAGGAUGGACACAGAGGCUCUGCCAGGACCAGCAGGGAAAUGAGUCCUUCUGCCCUGAAGGCAGAACCUGGAGACCACAUCACAGAAUCUGCCACACGAAGCCCCCUAGGACUUGGCCAGUCUGCAGCACCCCUAGGUCACUGCUCUUUCCCUUCCCACUUUGCCCUUUGUCCAUCGUUUCUGGUCCAUUUCAUCCCACUGCCAACAUUUCAAAGCUCUUUACUAUUCUUCUUUGGAACAACCCCACCUCAGCCUGCUAGGAAGAAACAUUUCCUUGAAUAUUAUCUACACCUCUUUCUGGAGAUUGUUAAAUGUCCUGCUGCUCUUGGGCAAGGCCAAAUAACACCUGCAGCUGGAAAAAAAGAACCUCAAAUUAAAUUCCAUUACUCAUCUCAGGAGCACAACAGACACCGAAAAGGUUCAAAAAGGGGCAAUGAAAAAGAAUUGAGUCAUAACAGAAGUAUAUGGAGUAAUGAGUUUAAUUUCCCAAAUUCUCAAUUUCCACCCUUUGUUCCAAGCAUGUUUCUUUUCAUGCAAUUUGGCCAUAAUUUCAGGGUAGCUUUACAGUGUAUUGAUUAAGAACUAAUUAGUGUGCUUUAGCCUUUAACUUGUCUGAUUUGUGAAUUGCAACUUUUGGAGUUUUUCUUUUUCUCUGCAAUUUGACCAAAGCUAAAGCAUCUUUCAAAAUGCUAUCCUUGGGGAUAAAGGGCUUUGCUUGUCAAGGGAAGUCCUGCAGAUUUCUGAUGGCAGCCAGGAAGCAAACAAUUGUCUCUGCACUACAGAAGGCUGUGUUAUCACAGGCAGUGAGUAUGUGUUUGCCAUUGAGCACUGCAGUAGACAUUGCUAGGGCUCCCCAACACAUGGCUCUUUUCUUCUCAUCACCCUUGGAGGUGGAUGGGACUAUGUCAAUGUUUCCAGUCCAUAAAAUAGUAGCAAAACUCAUGCAUCUCAUUUCCAGGCCAGGCGAGUAAAACUCCCCUGCACUGUCCUCGUCUCACUUGUUCUUUGCUCUGGCGAUGGCAAAGGAGGCUUUGUGUUGGGAUAAUGGACCCCCUCCCUCUCCCCUCAAACAGGAAGCUGCUCUAAUCUUUGAGUCAUCAUUUGGAGAAUGGCUUUCCUAGAGAGUCAUCCAGACCCACUGUGGACUUAGUGAAAAACAAAAAUCUUCGUCUUGUAAAGCUCCUGAAAAUUGUUGUUAUUGCAGCAAAGCCUAGUUUAUGCUAACUAACCUAAAUGGUUCCUUAUCUGCCUCAUCUUUCCCUUGCACCAAAUGCUUAUGGAAGGGGUCCUGCAUAUACCUAAACUCUUUCUCUCUGCUCCAUAACAGUCCAACAAACCUUGGGCUGUGGUCUCAGUACAUACUUGGAUUAAAGUCUUUAACACAUUGCUAGUUUAUAAAGUAGGGGAUUAUUUCUUCACCUUUGAAACCCCUAAACUUAGUAUAAGGCCAGGCUAUGUAAAUAUUGAAUAAAUAUUCAUGCCAGACUGCAGAGGGAGUUCCUGUUGUUGUGCAGUGGAAACAAAUCCGACUAGUAUCCAUGAGGAUGCAGAUUCAAUCCCUGGCCUUGCACAGUGGGUUAAGGAUCCAGGG
rnacentral:lncRNA from 1 species